CAGUCGCCACGGUAAUACGGAGGGUGCAAGCGUUAAUCGGAAUUACUGGGCGUAAAGCGCACGCAGGCGGUCUGACAAGUCAGAUGUGAAAUCCCCGGGCUUAACCUGGGAACUGCAUUUGAAACUGUCAGGCUGGAGUCUUGUAGAGGGGGGUGGAAUUCUAGGUGUAGCGGUGAAAUGCGUAGAGAUCUGGAGGAAUACCGGUGGCGAAGGCGGCCCCCUGGACAAAGACUGACGCUCAGGUGCGAAAGCGUGGGGAGCAAACAGGAUUAGAUACCCGCGUAGUCCCUGUCUCUUAUAC
rnacentral:rRNA from 1 species